CCCGCUGCUCCCGCGCCCUCAUGCUCUCCUCGGCUGACGGGCUGGGCACGGGGCUGAAGUGGGGGGGCUCCGUGUCCACCCAGCACCACCGCCGGACACUCCGGCAGCUGGCGGGCUUGGCUGAGCAGGGUCCGGCCGCGAGCAAGGGCCCACCGACCUCGGCUACACCGCAGAAGCCCCUGAGGCAAGAGAGGCUGAAAACCUGGCUGGCUGUGGAUGAAAUCCAACUUCCAUUCUGAGCUCCCUGGGAAACCCAGCCUUAGUGGUAAAGGAAAGAUGAAAAAGAAACGUGAAUGGAGAAGUCAGUUUCUUGGAUCUUGUCGUGAAGCCUGGUCCACAGCAAUACUAUACCAUUUCCUCUGAAUUGAAAGACGUGAAAUAAUGUGGUAACGUAGUUGUAAGGGCAUCUCUACUGAAGCUAUAUCAUGUUCUCAAAGAUAGUGAUGAAGUCUUAGUUGUUCACAUAAAUUAAAACUAGUGAAAACAGGUCAUAACUUCAAAUAUAGUCUAAUGACACAGGACCUUUUUUUGAAACCUUGAAUUUUGCUGUAGUCCUGUUGACAAUGAGAGUUAUUUUAGCAAAUGAAAAGAAUGGAAAGGGAGGAAGUAAACAUUCCACAGGAGACAAAGGAGAAAAAAGAAUGAUGUGAUGGAAACAAAGUUACUGAUUUUUCUGUUGUAACCGUGAUUAGCAAAAUUUUAGUUGUGUACAUCGUUUUGCUCACUUUAAAAAUAAAUACUAUUUCAGACCACUAAAAGUAUGUACUAAUAAAAUUAUACUAGCAAACUCUUCUGUGUUACCAACCAACAGAAAUACAUUUUUAUCAGUAUAAUUUGUAAUCAACUUUCCAAAUCAUAAG